CCAAAACCCUUGAGGCGACUGAUCUGAGCCCUAUAUAAGUGUCUGUGAGAAUUGAGAAUACGAAGGACCUCCAAGUUUGUCAGCCAGUACUUGCAAGAAACCAUCUUUAACGAUUUAAAAUGAAGGUUGCCGUCGUCGUUGUUCUGUGCGCCCUCGUUGCUGUCAGCCAAGCUGGCCUUAUCUCCCCAGGCUACGGCUAUGGUGGAUACGGCUACGGCAUUGGCGGCAUUGGUGGUCUCGGUGGUCUUGGUGGUCUUGGCGGCAUUGGAGGCAUUGGCGGUCUAGGUGGCUUUGGAGGUCUCGGCGGCUACGGUGGUUUUGGAGGCUUUGGAGGACUUGGCGGCUAUGGAGGUUUUGGCGGCUAUGGCGGGCUCGGAGGCUUCAAAGGAUACUACAAAGGUUACUAUUGAGGAAGCUACGACUAAACAAAAAAUAGCAGUCAAAACCGAUCGAGCCAGAAGAUUCUUCUUCUUAAAGGCUGACAACAGUUGAUUACGAAUAAUGUGAAAUCAAUAAAAAUCAAAAUUUUAAAAA